rnacentral:rRNA from 1 species
CUACGGGCUGCUGCAGUGAGGAAUAUUGCACAAUGGGGGGAACCCUGAUGCAGCAACGCCGCGUGGAGGAUGACGCAUUUCGGUGUGUAAACUCCUUUUAUAUGUCAAGAAAAUGACGGUAGCAUAUGAAUAAGCACCCGCUAACUCCGUGCCAGCAGCCGCGGUAAUACGGAGGGUGCAAGCGUUAGUCGGAAUCACUGGGCGUAAAGGACGCGUAGGCGGGCUUGUAAGUCAGGUGUGAAAUCCUACAGCUUAACUGUAGAACUGCACUUGAAACUACGAGCCUAGAGUAUGGGAGGGGGAGAUGGAAUUAGUGGUGUAGGGGUAAAAUCCGUAGAUAUCACUAGGAAUACCUAAAGCGAAGGCGAUCUCCUGGAACAUAACUGACGCUAAGGCGUGAAAGCGUGGGGAGCAAACAGGAUUAGAUACCCCGGUAGUC